rnacentral:misc_RNA from 1 species
GGAUUCCCGUAAGAGUGGCAC